AUGCUCGCUUCGGCAGCACAUAUACUAAAAUUGGAAUGAUACCAAGAAGAUUAGCAUGGCCCCUGUGCAAGGAUGACACAAAUUCAUGGGGAAAAAAUUAAAGACAUGUUU
ensembl:snRNA U6 U6 spliceosomal RNA